CACUUUCGCUGAGCAGGUUUCGACGCACGAUCGGACGUACCGCCGGGAUGUAGCGGCUGUUGUCCUGGAGGGUUAAGUUGUCUGAAAGAUAGAGAGUUUGGGGGUACUUUUUUGUCUUUUUUCCUUUUUACUAAAGCAAGCUCAAUUCUCAGUGGUUGCCUAGAAUUACGGUGGCUCGACUUAAAGGAAGCAUCUUCAAAUUACUGCUGUAUGAAGUGCCAAAAAGAGGUUAUUGGACGCGAACAAGCAAAAUCACUCACGGUGUUCUCAGGGGAAGAGAAUCUUUUUCCAGUCUCCAAUAACUCCAGAAAAAAAUCUGACAAAACUGAAAAACAGGGCUCGUACCCUGUUGAUUGCCUCAAAGGGCGCGGUAGACAGCU